GAGGAACCUGUCCUGUAAUUGAUAUUCCACGAUUAAUUUUACUUGUUUUAUUAGCUUAUAUAUCGUCGUUGUUUAAAUAUUUUAUAAGAAUUUAAAUGUUUAAGAUUUAUAAUAAUAAAAAAAAUCAGAUCAAGGUGUAGUUUAUAUACAAGUAGAGAUGGGUUACAAUAAAAAUAUUUAUAUGGUUAAGAUAAUUAACAUUAUUUUUUAAAGUGGAUUUGAAUGUAAUAUAAUUUAGUUAAUUUAUAUGAAUAAAGCUCUAAAAUAUGUACAUAUUGCCCGUCACUCCUAUUUUAAAAUGGGAUAAGUCGUAACAGAGUAGGUGUACUGGAAAGUGUACCUAGAUUGUCAAAUUAGAGCUUGUUAGAAAGCAUUUUAUUUACAUUAAAAAGUUAGUUGUGUGAAUCAAUUUAAUUUGAUAAUAAAAAAUUUAUUAGAUUUUAUGAAAAUAAAAUAUUAUUUUUAUUUAGUAUUUUUUUUAGAAUUAUUUAUUUAAAUUAUAGUUUAUUUGUAUAGUGAUAGAUUAUUGAUAUAUUAUUUUAUUUUUAGUAAAGAAAAAUUAAUUUUUUGUACCUUGUGUAUCAGGGUUUAUAAAAAAUAUUUUAUAUAAUUAAAGUUCUCGAAUUUUUAAGAGUGAAUAGUUUUUAUAUUUAAUUGUAAUAUAAAUUUUUAUAAUAAAUUAUUGGAAAUGAAACGUUAUUCGUUUAAAAAUAUAUCUAGUUUUUUAAGAAAUAAAUUUAAUUUAUUUAUUUAAAUAUAUUAUUUUAAUUUUGAAAGAUAGUAUUUUAAAUAUUAAAUAUCUUAAGGGAUAAGCUUUAGGAUAAAUUAUUAUAAAUUAUUUAUAUAUAAAGAAUAAAUAGAAUUAGAAAUUUUAAUUUUUUAAUUUGUUAUAAUUAAUUUUUUUUUUAUAUAAUUUAUAUUGAUUUUAAUUAUUUUAUUAAUAUAAUUUAUUUAAUAAUUAUAUAUAUAUAAUUAUGAUAAAAUUAGUAUAUUUUGAUUUAUUUAUUUUUAAUAUUGAAAGGUUAAGUUAAGGAAUUCGGCAAAUAUAUUUUUCGCCUGUUUAUUAAAAACAUGUCUUUUUGAUUAUAAUUUAAAGUUUGACCUGCCCACUGAUAUUUUGAAUGGCUGCGGUAUUUUGACUGUACAAAGGUAGCAUAAUAAUUAGUUUUUUAAUUGAAAGCUGGAAUGAAUGGUUGGACGAAAAAAUAACUGUCUUAAUUUAAUUUUUUUUAGAAUUUUAUUUUUAAGUAAAAAAGCUUAAAUAACAUUAAAAGACGAGAAGACCCUAUAGAGUUUAAUAUUAUUUAUUUUUAUUAUUAUUUAGAUAUUUAUAAUAUUAAUUAUUAUUAGUAUUUU
rnacentral:rRNA from 1 species